UACGUAGGGUGCAAGCGUUUGUCCGGAAUUAUUGGGCGUAAAGAGCUCGUAGGCGGUUUGUCGCGUCUGCUGUGAAAACCCGAGGCUCAACCUCGGGCCUGCAGUGGGUACGGGCAGACUAGAGUGCGGUAGGGGAGAUUGGAAUUCCUGGUGUAGCGGUGGAAUGCGCAGAUAUCAGGAGGAACACCAAUGGCGAAGGCAGAUCUCUGGGCCGUAACUGACGCUGAGGAGCGACAGCAUGGGGAGCGAACAGG
rnacentral:rRNA from 1 species